GGAAAUUAAGAUGGCAAUUUCCGAGUCGUAUGAGGUAAGAAACUCUCAAGUAGUGUUCUAAGGGAAGAAACUGCCUAUUCUGAUCGAGAACAUGCCAUUCUUCCUAUUUCAACCGAGGAGAACAUGCCAUUCUAGAGGGUGAUCGGAAAUUACAGUUCAAGCUUUCCCAACCUCUUUUCAUGGAUGGACUCUUAACGCCUACGAAGGCUUGUGUAUAGGGGCGUACAACAAUAAUUUCCACAAUGCCCUAUUCACAACACUCUCUUAUUUCAGGGAACUUAUGAGAAAAACAACGUAUAUCUGUUCAGAAUAACUAAAAAUACAUGACCAUGUGGGCAUACCCUGUUAACGUACACACCAAAGAAAGAAAGAAAGAAAGGGAAGAGACAUGUAGUAAGACAACAAAUACAAAUUCACUGUAAAAUAUCAUGAACAAAACAAUCAACAGAUGAACAGAAACAAAAUCGUCGGAAGCUCGCGAGGCUGGCUACAGAUCCCUCCUGCCGCCGUUGCUCAGGUCCACGUCGUUCAGGGUGAGGCUGUCCAGAAUCCUAACGACCUGCAACGCAGCCCAAGACGAAACAAAUCAAUGACGAGAAUAGACGUUGCGAGCUUGGAGGAGGUUCUUCUUCCUCGCCCGAACGCACGAACCUGCCCCAUCUUGCGCCUCCUGGCGGCCGAGUGCCGGAUGCACGCCACCGCCGCCUCGAUCAUGUUGUGGAACGUCGCAUAGGAAACAAAAAUUUUCCUACGCGCACGAAGACCUAUCAUGGUGUUGUCCAUC
rnacentral:lncRNA from 1 species